rnacentral:tRNA from 1 species
CGGGGAUUAGCGCAGUCCGGUAGCGCGCGUCGUUCGGGACGACGAGGUCGUGGGUUCAAAUCCCGCAUCCCCGACCA